rnacentral:tRNA from 1 species
AACAAACUAGCUCAAUGGGUAGAGCAGAAGACUGUCCCUCUUCCGGUCGGUGGUUCGAGUCCACCGUUUGUUUC